CAGGGUAUAGCUAACUUAGAUAAAGCACCUCCCUUACACUGAGAAGUCAUCCGUGCAAAUCGGAUUAUCCUGAC
rnacentral:tRNA from 1 species